rnacentral:misc_RNA from 1 species
UUUCCGUAGGUGAACCUGCGGAAGGAUCAUUAGUGAUUGCCCUAGUGGCUUAAAACUGUGUCCAUUUACCCCUGGGAACCGUGUGAUUGACACUCUGUGUUGAUUUUACAAACAACAUGUACAGAAAGUCAAGUUAUUAUAUCAAAAAAUAACUUUCAACAACGGAUCUCUUGGCUCUC